rnacentral:rRNA from 1 species
AUUGAACGCUGGCGGCAGGCCUAACACAUGCAAGUCGAGCGGAUGAAGGGAGCUUGCUCCUGGAUUCAGCGGCGGACGGGUGAGUAAUGCCUAGGAAUCUGCCUGGUAGUGGGGGAUAACGUCCGGAAACGGGCGCUAAUACCGCAUACGUCCUGAGGGAGAAAGUGGGGGAUCUUCGGACCUCACGCUAUCAGAUGAGCCUAGGUCGGAUUAGCUAGUUGGUGGGGUAAAGGCCUACCCAGGCGACGAUCCGUAACUGGUCUGAGAGGAUGAUCAGUCACACUGGAACUGAGACACGGUCCAGACUCCUACGGGAGGCAGCAGUGGGGAAUAUUGGACAAUGGGCGAAAGCCUGAUCCAGCCAUGCCGCGUGUGUGAAGAAGGUCUUCGGAUUGUAAAGCACUUUAAGUUGGGAGGAAGGGCAGUAAGUCAAUACCUUGCUGUUUUGACGUUACCAACAGAAUAAGCACCGGCUAACUUCGUG